UACAUAGGGGGCAAGCGUUGUCCGGAUUUAUUGGGCGUAAAGAGCUCGUAGGUGGUUCGGUAAGUCGGAUGUGAAAUCUCCAGGCUCAACCUGGAGGGGUCAUUCGAUACUGCCGUGACUAGAGUUCGGUAGGGGAGUGUGGAAUUCCUGGUGGAGCGGUGAAAUGCGCAGAUAUCAGGAGGAACACCCGUGGCUAAGGCGGCUCUCUAGUACGGUACUGACGCUGAGACGCGAAAGCGUGGGGAGCGAACAGG
rnacentral:rRNA from 1 species